rnacentral:tmRNA from 1 species
GGGGCCGACCUGGCUUCGACGUGGGUUGCAAAGCAGUGAAGGGCAUACCGAGGACCAGUCACCUCGUAAAUCCAUCUGGAAAUCUAUAGUCGCCAACGACGAAACUUACGCUCUGGCCGCUUGACGGCCGGACUCCUCACCGGCAGGCCCGUGGGCCGGGCUGGGCAACCAGCUGAGGAGUCAUUUACACGGGAUCGCGCUGAUUCGGGUCACUUGAUUCAGCGUUAAAUUAAGGUGACUCGCCUAGACCCAGCCUGUUCGGCCGGCGGGGUCCGGGUUAAAACCAAAUGACCGGACUAAGUAUGUAGAUCUUGCUGUAGAGGACUUGCGGACGCGGGUUCGAUUCCCGCCGGCUCCACCA